rnacentral:rRNA from 1 species
CAGUAGCCACGGUAAAACGAAGGGUGCAAGCGUUAAUCGGAAUUACUGGGCGUAAAGCGUGCGUAGGCGGUGAGUUAAGUCUGCUGUGAAAUCCCCGGGCUCAACCUGGGAAUGGCAGUGGAUACUGGCUCGCUAGAGUGUGUCAGAGGAUGGUGGAAUUCCCGGUGUAGCGGUGAAAUGCGUAGAGAUCGGGAGGAACAUCAGUGGCGAAGGCGGCCAUCUGGGACAACACUGACGCUGAGGCACGAAAGCGUGGGGAGCAAACAGGAUUAGAUACCCCAGUAGUCCCUGUCUCUUAUAA